GCUCAGAUUGAACGCCGGCGGCAGGCCUAACACAUGCAAGUCGAACGGUAACAGGAAGCAGCUUGCUGCUUCGCUGACGAGUGGCGGACGGGUGAGUAAUGUCUGGGAAGCUGCCUGAUGGAGGGGGAUAACUACUGGAAACGGUAGCUAAUACCGCAUAAUGUCGCAAGACCAAAGAGGGGGACCUUCGGGCCUCUUGCCAUCGGAUGUGCCCAGAUGGGAUUAGCUUGUUGGUGGGGUAACGGCUCACCAAGGCGACGAUCCCUAGCUGGUCUGAGAGGAUGACCAGCCACACUGGAGCUGAGACACGGUCCAGACUCCUACGGGAGGCAGCAGUGGGGAACAUUGCACAAUGGGCGCAAGCCUGAUGCAGCCAUGCCGCGUGUAUGAAGAAGGCCUUCGGGUUGUAAAGUACUUUCAGCGGGGAGGAAGGGAGUAAAGUUAAUACCUUUGCUCAUUGACGUUACCCGCAGAAGAAGCACCGGCUAACUCCGUGCCAGCAGCCGCGGUAAUACGGAGGGUGCAAGCGUUAAUCGGAAUUACUGGGCGUAAAGCGCACGCAGGCGGUUUGUUAAGUCAGAUGUGAAAUCCCCGGGCUCAACCUGGGAACUGCAUCUGAUACUGGCAAGCUUGAGUCUCGUAGAGGGGGGUAGAAUUCCAGGUGUAGCGGUGAAAUGCGUAGAGAUCUGGAGGAAUACCGGUGGCGAAGGCGGCCCCCUGGACGAAGACUGACGCUCAGGUGCGAAAGCGUGGGGAGCAAACAGGAUUAGAUACCCUGGUAGUCCACGCCGUAAACGAUGUCGACUUGGAGGUUGUGCCCUUGAGGCGUGGCUUCCGGAGCUAACGCGUUAAGUCGACCGCCUGGGGAGUACGGCCGCAAGGUUAAAACUCAAAUGAAUUGACGGGGGCCCGCACAAGCGGUGGAGCAUGUGGUUUAAUUCGAUGCAACGCGAAGAACCUUACCUGUCUUGACAUCCACGGAAGUUUUCAGAGAUGAGAAUGUGCCUUCGGGAACCGUGAGACAGGUGCUGCAUGGCUGUCGUCAGCUCGUGUUGUGAAAUGUUGGGUUAAGUCCCGCAACGAGCGCAACCCUUAUCCUUUGUUGCCAGCGGUCCGGCCGGGAACUCAAAGGAGACUGCCAGUGAUAAGCUGGAGGAAGGUGGGGAUGACGUCAAGUCAUCAUGGCCUUUACGACCAGGGCUACACACGUGCUGCAAUGGCGCAUACAAAGAGAAGCGACCUCGCGAGAGCAAGCGGACCUCAUAAAGUGCGUCGUAGUCCGGAUUGGAGUCUGCAACUCGACUCCAUGAAGUCGGAAUCGCUAGUAAUCGUGGAUCAGAAUGCCACGGUGAAUACGUUCCCGGGCCUUGUACACACCGCCCGUCACACCAUGGGAGUGGGUUGCAAAAGAAGUAGGUAGCUUAACCUUCGGGAGGGCGCUUACCACUUUGUGAUUCAUGACUGGGGUGAAGUCGUAACAAGGUAACCGUAGGGGAACCUGCGGUUG
rnacentral:rRNA from 1 species